GAGUGGUGACUGAGGUGUAUGGGUACGUUGGAUCCCUGCUUGGGCACCGACUGCGUACCUUGCUCCUCUCUUCAGUUGUUGGCGUAGGCGCACUGUGCCCUGGCCGAAUGAUGUUUUCCUGUGCUAUAUACCCAUUUAGUGACAAGGGUACCGAAUUUGCUCAAUUGCAUCUGUUCGCUUCUUGUUGCGUCCCCUUCGAUUUUGGCGUGAAGCGAACGUUGAAGUAUUGAUUGUGUUCCACUUUCCUUGCAUGCCCGCCCGUGCUUCGAUUGUUGGGCCAUGAUCCUUGCUCGAUCUCUCGGUUGCGGAAUGCCUUGUGGGGCAUGAGGCACUAGUCUCUAUUCGCCCCUUAUUGAGCGUUUAACGCUACGUGCAAACGACAGUUGUGGUCGUCUUGACUAGGCCUUUUAUGGCUUGGCCCGUACGGUCCCAACGUCGAUGAGGAAUGCUACCUGGUUGAUCCUGCCAGUAGUCAUAUGCUUGUCUCAAAGAUUAA
rnacentral:misc_RNA from 1 species